rnacentral:rRNA from 1 species
UCUGAGAACUGAUGCCACCAUACCAUCCUGAUCCCUGAUUUCAGAAGCUAAGCAGGGUCUGGUCUGGUUAGUAGUUUGAUGGGAGAUCACAGGGAAUACUAGGGAUUUUCAAGU